GACAGUGAAGAGAAUAUAAUAUAAUAUAAUAUAACAACUAUUACGAAAAUAAUAACAACAACAAAAAAGUGCAAUAACCGAAACACCAUAAAAACAAUUGGUGGUAGAAAGCAAAAGCAAGACAACACAAGAAUAAAAGCACUACUACGACAGACACAAUUAAGCCUAAACCCUUCGGAAAGCAAGAGAACACUCCACUACAACCUUCUACCUUAAUCGACGAUCUCCAUACUUAAGCAUUCAUGCGUUGAUAAGUCAUGCGUUGCACCUGCAUCCCAUAUUAAAUAAUAUAAAUCAUAAUUAAAUUGGAGGUUAAUGAGCAACAAAUAAUAUAAAGACAAAAUUACAAUCAAAAUUGAGAAGAAGACUAAAGUCCAAGUCUAAGCAUCUCUUAAUAGUAAUAAGAUAGUUUACCGGUGCAUGUAGUUGUAUUGAUAAUUUGAAAGACUUUUGAUAUUCUAGAAGCCCAUCAACAAAUAUAAUAAGCUAACAGAUGAUAAAUGUAAUUUUUAGUGAAUAAAAUUGACAGAUUAAAUUUCAUUUGUCGAAAAAUGAUUAUCAAAUAUAUAUGUCACUAGAGCUAUAAGCUUAUUACACAACAUGAAAACGAUCCUACUCCUUUUAACUCUUGCUAAAGUUAUGAUACAACGUAACAGUCCUACUCUAUAUUGGCUAAACUUGAUAGUUUAUCUAGCACCGUUCCUUUUAAAAAAUAAUUUCUCCUUAUUACAAGUGCCAUUUUCUCAAUAAAAUAUGACUCUAUGUUUUAUCAUGGUUCUGAUGUACCCAUUUGAAUUUCAUACAAUAGAGGAUAUAAGCCUAUUUAUUGUCGACAUCAAGAUGAUUACCAAGAAAACUAGAGAGCUUAACAAAUAUAAAGGUAAACGAAAUUAUUUGCAGAAAUAUAUGCUGUUAAACACUAUGAAUUGAUCACUGUAAUUGUGUUCUAAGCUAAAACAACAGAAAAGGCUUUCACCAUUGUUGAGACAAUUUCAGAAUGUAUUGAGAAGAAGAUCAAAGAUUACAAACAGCAAUGUACUAGUUACAAUGUUUAUAUAGUAGUAGUAACCGACUCUUACUAACCAUAGUUAACUUAAUCUAACUAUUAACCAGAGUUCUAACAACCUAACUAACUGAAAAUGGGAAAAUAUCUAACCAACUAACUUCUAGACCAAUCAGCAAAUGACACGUCACCCCGCAUCAUCUUUCACAUGCUCAAUAUAUGCAACAAUGAAUUUUACAAGUGAUCUAUUAGAGUACUCCCUCCAUUCCUUUUUAAUUGUCAUUUGUGCUUUUCGAGAGUCAAUUUGACUAAAUUUCUAUGCUAAAUCAGAUUACAGUAAUUCGAUAUUUUAAAAUAAAAUUUUAGAUAUUCAAAAACAAUAUGGAAAGUACUAUAAAUCAAUCUCGUGCUAACAAAAAUGCAUAUGCCACUCUGCAUGUAACUUCAGAAGAAUAAAUAUGAAAACCAGCAAUAUUCAUUAGCUUCAUAAUACUGCGAUAACUGUUACCUAUCAAGAUUGCUAUCAUGGUGUUUCCAGACCUCACUUUGUGGGAUUUCACUGGGUAUGUUGUUGUUGUACAAAAGACAACCAGCGAUAAAACAUUCUAUUAUAUUGUUGCAAAUAAAUGAACCAGAAAAUAACAACAUAUAUCUGUAUCAAGAGUUCAAAAGAGCUUCAAAGUUUGGAUAUCUUUUAGCAGUUAUUCCAUCAACCUUCAUAUCUCUCCGGUGAUCCUCUUUCACGUUGUAGACAGUCAAAUACUUAUCUCUAUCCACAUUCAAUACAACAUCAUCAUCACUGAUCGCACAAAAUGGUACGAGACCAUCCAUUCUAGCAACCCUAAAUCUAGUCCAGGACUCCUCAACUCGAUACUCUCUCAUCAUCCAAGCAUCAAUUUCGUUUCCUAGUGUAUCAUAUAACAUACAAAGAUAUCCUCUAAGAUCUGAAAGCUUAUUAAACAAUAACUUAUUGUUAGUAGGUGUUGACACCUCCAAGAAUUUCUCAUUACAUCAAAUGAAAAACAACCAUUACAUAUGGAAAAAACAGGAGCUUUCCUAGUCAAUCAAUGCAAAUCCCCAUUUACACAAUCUCCUCCAUAGCUAUUCUCAUAGUGUAGACAUCAACAAAAGUAGUGUCAAUAUCGAUAUCGAAAAAGAGUAACCACCUUAUAAUCAUCACUAACAAAAUCAUACCUCUUAGUACCACAUCAACUCAGAAUAUCACAUCAAGCAAUAUGGUAACCCUCAGUUCCCUUGCCAAGCAUCGGCAAGACAAGACUCUCGAUGAAAAUUCCAGUCCUUUCAAACAUAUAAGUUAAUCCAUCUACCUCCAUAUAUCUCCAUUGAUCCUCUUUGAUGUUGUAGACAGUCAACCUAUCCCUAUCCACACUCAAUACAACAUCAUCAUCACUAAUCGGACAAAAUGGUACCGAACCAUUCUCUAAAUCCAUUCUAUCAAUCCUAAAUGUAGUCCAAGACUCCUCAACUCGAUACUCUUUCAUCACCCAAACAUCAAUUUCGCUUUCUAAUAAAGCACAAAACAUACAAAGACACCCUCUAAAACUCCUAAGUUCAUACCAAUCCAACUCAUUUCCAUAAAGAUUAGUAGGUGCUGGUACCUCGAAAAAUUUCUCAUCACUUAAAUCAAAACCAAUAAUUACGAAUGAAGAAGCUUUACUUGCCAUCCAAUGCAAAACCCCAUUUACCAACACCCCAGAAGCCCCUCCUCGCUCCGAAAGUACAUCAUCGUAAGGUAAACUCUCUAGUCUCCUCCAUAAACCCAUUCUCACCGAAUAGACAUCAACAAAAGUAGUGUCAAUAUUCCCUUUUCGAUAUCGAGAAAGAUUAACCACCUUAUAAUCAUCACUAGCAAAAUCAUACCCAAAACCAUACUCUCUGUAGCUACUUUGCUG
rnacentral:lncRNA from 1 species